rnacentral:rRNA from 1 species
GAUGAACGCUGGCGGCGUGCCUAAUACAUGCAAGUCGAGCGAACGGACGAGAAGCUUGCUUCUCUGAUGUUAGCGGCGGACGGGUGAGUAACACGUGGAUAACCUACCUAUAAGACUGGGAUAACUUCGGGAAACCGGAGCUAAUACCGGAUGAUAUUUUGAACCGCAUGGUUCAAAAGUGAAAGACGGUCUUGCUGUCACUUAUAGAUGGAUCCGCGCUGCAUUAGCUAGUUGGUAAGGUAACGGCUUACCAAGGCAACGAUGCAUAGCCGACCUGAGAGGGUGAUCGGCCACACUGGAACUGAGACACGGUCCAGACUCCUACGGGAGGCAGCAGUAGGGAAUCUUCCGCAAUGGGCGAAAGCCUGCCGGAGCAACGCCGCGUGAGUGAUGAAGGUCUUCGGAUCGUAAAACUCUGUUAUUAGGGAAGAACAUAUGUGUAAGUAACUGUGCACAUCUUGACGGUACCUAAUCAGAAAGCCACGGCUAACUACGUG